AACUAACGCUGGCGGCAGGCUUAACACAUGCAAGUCGAACGCUCGUAGCAAUACGGGAGUGGCGGACGGGUGAGUAACGCGUGGGAACGUGCCCUGAGGUACGGAAUAACUGCGGGAAACUGCAGCUAAUACCGUAUGAGCCCCGUGAGGGGAAAGGAUUUAUCGCCUUAGGAGCGGCCCGCGUCGGAUUAGCUAGUUGGUGGGGUAACGGCUUACCAAGGCUUCGAUCCGUAGCUGGUCUGAGAGGACGAUCAGCCACACUGGGACUGAGACACGGCCCAGACUCCUACGGGAGGCAGCAGUGGGGAAUCUUGCGCAAUGGGGGCGAACCCUGACGCAGCCAUGCCGCGUGAAUGAUGAAGGCCUUAGGGUUGUAAAGUUCUUUUGUCCCGUGACGAUGAUGACGGUAACGGGAGAAUAAGCUCCGGCUAACUUCGUGCCAGCAGCCGCGGUAAAGUCUGUACU
rnacentral:rRNA from 1 species